rnacentral:lncRNA from 1 species
AUACUUGAUUCCACGAUGAUAUAAUAUGUGCAUUUGUGAAAUAUUUUACUUAAACCAUUACUAAUUUGAGCAUCGGAGACGUCUAACUCUUUUUUGCAGGUAUCAAAAUGGCCUCAAAGUCAGGGGGAACAAAUUCGAACCUUUUUAAGUCACAUUGGACAUUUUCUAGAACUUUAGUAGCACAUAAUCGAUUAUUGACACUAACAAAAUCGAUUAUCCAAUGUUUCUAUCUUUUCAGAAUUUAGGCACAAAAACAGGAUAAUCGAUUAUUCAGAUCAGAUAAUCGAUUGCCUGAGGCCUCUGGAAUUUCAACUGAAGGCAGA